rnacentral:misc_RNA from 1 species
UACGGAAGGGGCAAGCGUUGUUCGGAAUCAUUGGGCGUAAAGGGCGCGUAGGUGGUCGGGUGUGUCUUUCGUGAAAGCCGACGGCUCAACCGUCGAGCGUCGGGAGAAACUGCCCAACUUGAGGCUGGGAGGGGCUGGUGGAAUUCCCCGUGUAGCGGUGAAAUGCGUAGAGAUGGGGGAGAACACUCGUGGCGAAGGCGGCCAGCUAGACCAGUUCUGACACUGAGGCGCGAUAGCGUGGGGAGCUAACAGG